UACAGAGCGUGCAAACGUUGUUCGGAAUUACUGGGCUUAAAGCGCACGUAGGCUGUGUCGUAAGUGUCACGUGAAAUCCCACGGCUCACCCGUGGAACUGCUUGGCAUACUGCGAUACUCGAGUGUGGUAGGGGAGAGCGGAACUCCUGGUGGAGCGGUGAAAUGCGUAGAUAUCAGGAGGAACACCGGUGGCGAAGGCGGCUCUCUGGUCCACAACUGACGCUGAGGUGCGAAAGCUAGGGGAGCAAACGGG
rnacentral:rRNA from 1 species